rnacentral:rRNA from 1 species
GAUGAACGCUAGCGGCAGGCUUAACACAUGCAAGUCGAGGGGUAUAGUUCUUCGGAACUAGAGUCCGGCGCACGGGUGCGUAACGCGUAUACAAUCUACCUUUUACAGGGGGAUAGCCCAGAGAAAUUUGGAUUAAUACCCCAUAGUAUGUUAGAGUGGCAUCAUUUUAACAUUAAAGUUCCAACGGUAAAAGAUGAGCAUGCGUCCCAUUAGCUAGAUGGUAAGGUAACGGCUUACCAUGGCGACGAUGGGUAGGGGUCCUGAGAGGGAGAUCCCCCACACUGGUACUGAGACACGGACCAGACUCCUACGGGAGGCAGCAGUGAGGAAUAUUGGACAAUGGGCGCAAGCCUGAUCCAGCCAUGCCGCGUGCAGGAAGACGGUCCUAUGGAUUGUAAACUGCUUUUGUACAGGAAGAAACACUCCCUCGUGAGGGAGCUUGACGGUACUGUAAGAAUAAGGAUCGGCUAACUCCGUGCCAGCAGCCGCCGUAACAC